rnacentral:lncRNA from 1 species
CAAACCUUGCGACGCGGCCUCCCUUCGCCGCUGGCGACAGAUAUCUUUCUGAGACACCAAAGACCACUCUGCGAGCAGGGCAGGCCGAGUGCCCUGCGCUCCGAGUCGUGCUCCGCGCGCCUGGGCUGCUGCGAGGUUCCCAAGGCAACGGCAAGCCGCUCGCCGCGUCUCCCGAGUGACGAGGCGUCAGCGAAGACCUGGAGGCCGGAUCGAAGAACCGGAGCCACGGAGCGAACGCUGGAUCUAGAAGUCCCCCACCAAGUGAGGAUGUCUGCAGAGUCCAGGACGUGGCUCCCGCCCAGAACCCGAUGGCUGGACAAUGGUAAAUUCUCCCCCAGUCUUCUGUCAUCUCAACAGUGGGACUAUUAUCCUAUGCCACGACAGGAUGUCAUACAGAUGAGGACACUGAGGCACAGAGAGAGUGACAUCGAGUCAGGACUGAUCGCACAGGAACAGAGGGUCUGGAUCUGCAAAUGCAUCUGUCUCCAUUCCCCCGCACCCCACAUUUCCAGGGCCCCCGGCUAGGUGAAGACACCACAGGUCAUUCGCCUCACCUGCAGCCUCCCAAUUUCCACGGAAAGAUGUGAUGGUGACCAUGCACUUAUGUGACCCAGGAUUCAGAUGGCUGAAGUCCGUCCAUCCGUUCACACCGAAGAUGCACGUGAAGGAACGCCAGUCCUGGCUGCCUGCCUGUGAGGACACCGCAGAGUAAUGAGGGA